rnacentral:rRNA from 1 species
GGCCUUUUGAUUUUUAUUUAAGGUCUGGCCUGCCCACUGAUAAUUUAAAGGGCCGCGGUAUUUUGACCGUGCAAAGGUAGCAUAAUCAUUAGUUUUUUAAUUGAAAGCUGGAAUGAAUGGUCGGAUGAGAAAAUGGCUGUCUCUAUCUUAAUUUCUAGAAUUUAACUUUUAAGUAAAAAGGCUUAAAUGUUAUUAAAAGACGAGAAGACCCUAUAGAGUUUUAUAUCUUUUUUAAUGGAAAUUUUUAGUAUUAUUAACUUUUAUUAAUAAAGAUAUUUGGUUGGGGAGACUGAAAAAUUAAAUUAACUUUUUCUUAUUUUUACACUAAUUAGUGAUUAAUUGAUCCAUAAUUUAUGAUUGAAAGAUAAAAUUACCUUAGGGAUAACAGCGUAAUCCUUUCUGAGAGUUCUAAUCGAAGGGAGGGUUUGCGACCUCGAUGUUGGAUUAAAAUUAAUUUUCGGUGCAGAAGCUGGGAAUAUUAGGUCUGUUCGACCUUUAAAAUUU